rnacentral:rRNA from 1 species
GACGAACGCUGACGGCGUGCUUAACACAUGCAAGUCGAACGGAGGGGCGAACGGGUGAGUAAGACGGGGGUGAACUGCCUUGAACUAUGGGUUAAGCUGGGGAAACUGGGUCUAAUACCGGAUAGUGCACGAUUAGCUGGCGGGCUAUCGGCUUGUUGGGGGGGUAAUGGCCUACCAAGGCGUGGACGGGUAGCCGGCCAGAGAGGGUGUACGGCGGCAUUGGGUCUGAGAUACGGCAGAGACACCGACUCGAGGGAGCAGUGCGGAAGAGUGCACAAUGGGCGGAAGGUGGAUGCAGCGACUCCGCGUGUGGGAUGACGGCCUUCGGGUUGUAAACUCCUUUCGACAGGGACGCGGUACCUGUAUAAGAAGCAACGGCUAACUACGUGCCAGCAGCCGCGGUAAUUC